rnacentral:rRNA from 1 species
UACUAGAGUAGCACUCGCAUAUCAAUAAGCGGAGGAAAAGAAACUAACAAGGAUUCCCCUAGUAACGGCGAGUGAAGCGGGAAGAGCUCAAAUUUGAAAUCUUAAAGGGUUUCCCUUUACGAAUUGUAGUUUAAAGAAGUGUUUUCUGUUGAGGUUUUGGUAAAAGUUCUUUGGAAUAGGACAUCAUAGAGGGUGAGAAUCCCGUAUUUGACCUUUACUUUCAACUUUGUGAUACACUUUCAAAGAGUCGGAUUGUUUGGGAAUGCAGUCCAAAAUGGGUGGUAAAUUUCAUCUAAAGCUAAAUAUUGGCGAGAGACCGAUAGCGAACAAGUACCGUGAGGGAAAGAUGAAAAGAACUUUGAAAAGAGAGUUAAACAGUACGUGAAAUUGUCAAAAGGGAAGCGUUUGACACCAGUGUUGUUUUUCUGAAAAUCAAUUAAAGAACUGUUUAUGCUAAGCUGUUUAGACUUUAUCAGCUAACUGUUUAGUUUUGAGCUUUUCUUUAAUGCACUUUUCAGUUAACAAGUCAACAUCAAUUUCUUUUGCUGUAAAAAAGCUUGAGGAAGGUGGCUUGAGAUUCGUCUUAAGUGUUUAUAGCCUCUUGCCUAUGCAGUCGGAGAGAUUGAGGUCUGCAGCGUAGAUCCUUCGGGGCUAAAUGCAUUUGUGCUAAGUUAUAGCAUUUUAUAGACAACUUGUUGACUAUGAUUUGUCUUGUAGCUUACUCGCUCAUGUUAUUUUACCUACGCUUAGGAUGUUGAGUCAUCACACAUCUCU